rnacentral:rRNA from 1 species
UACGUAGGGGGCAAGCGUUGCCCGGAAUUAUUGGGCGUAAAGGGCGCGUAGGCGGCACGGCAAGUCAGGAGUGAAAGCCCUGGGCUCAACCCGGGAACUGCUUUUGAAACUGCCGAGCUAGAGUGCGGAAGGGGCAACUGGAAUUCCCAGUGUAGCGGUGAAAUGCGUAGAUAUUGGGAAGAACACCUGAGGCGAAGGCGGGUUGCUGGGCCGACACUGACGCUGAGGCGCGAAAGCCAGGGGAGCGAACGGG